rnacentral:rRNA from 1 species
CGUAGGGGGCGAGCGUUGUCCGGAUUUAUUGGGCGUAAAGAGCUCGUAGGCGGUUUGGCAAGUCGGGUGUGAAAACUCCGGGCUCAACUCGGAGACGCCACUCGAUACUGCCAUGACUCGAAUCCGGUAGGGGAGUGCGGAAUUCCUGGUGUAGCGGUGAAAUGCGCAGAUAUCAGGAGGAACACCGGUGGCGAAGGCGGCACUCUGGGCCGGUACUGACGCUGAGGAGCGAAAGCGUGGGGAGCGAACAGGAUUAGAUACCCUGGUAGUCCACGCCGUAAACGUUGGGCACUAGGUGUGGGGCUCGAUCGACGGGCUCCGUGCCGUAGCUAACGCAUUAAGUGCCCCGCCUGGGAAGUACGGCCGCAAGGCUA